UUGCACAUAUUUACCGGAUACAGACAUGCAACGUCACGAUGAGGAGAUAUGUGACGUUGCGACGAUACAAUGAGCAAGGGACAACGUCACGAUGAGGGUCAUCAGAAUGAAGCGACAAUUUCUUGAGGCAAGAGCAAGGGCGAUGUCAUGACGAUAUCUCACCUAAUAUAGUUGUAUUUUAAACUCCUAACAGGACUUCUUCUUUGAGUUGAACUCUAAUUACUUUAGGGAUAUUUUAGUCAUUUAUCCCUUCUAUCUCAACCUAUUUAAAAGGGCUCUUGUAUCCUUGUUUUGAUAUGUCAAUUAGUAAGAACUUUCCUUUGAAGGCCAUAAGAUGUAGUCGCAUAUGAGUUUGAGAGAGUCUUUUAUGUUAACUAUAGAGAAAAAAAAUUCGAGUUAGGGCUUUGUUUUCAGGGUUUGGUAAUGUACAUUUAGUACGUUUGGGUUUAUUUUUUUUUCAUAUUAUACUAUUGUUUGUUUACUCAUUUAGUGAAAUGUCAAAGCCUCAUUUGCCCGUGGUUUAUAUUCUCUUCAAAGAAGUUUUCCACGUAAAUAUUUGUGUGUUUGAUCUUCUAUAUUUUACUUGUUCAUUGCUUGUAUGGGUUGAUCCCCAAUAAAUUGGUUUCAGAGUAAGGUUCAACUUCCACAAAUUGACUCUUUUAGUGAAACAACAAUGAAUUUGGAUAUCUAAAAAUUCAACGAGAUCAAAAAUUUCAGUUUCUGACAGUUUCAGAUAAUUACAGAGGUAGCUGAUGUGGCCAAACACAAGUGUGAUGAUUUGUUGUUCUUUACAUAUAAUCCGGUUGAAGGUGGAGUCGUCUCAGAUGUCAAACAUGUGCUUGAUUUAAAGAAUAGUCCCAUCCUCUUUUGGUCUUUAGGGUUCGAAUGGUUUGUAGAAUGUUGAUGUAAGGUUUGUCACAAAGGGUUACAUUCAAGUGAAAAGAGUUGAUGUUUUCUCUCCUGUUCAAGUAUUACUAGCUCUUAUUGCAUUAUACAAUUUUGAUUUGAAGACUAAAAAUUUUUCAAUUUCCAAGUUUAAGUAUGAUUUAGACUUAGUUGACAUUCUGCAAAAUUCAAGUUAUGCCCAUGACAGGCAUGGAAAAGGAAACAUGAUAAAUACGAGUCAAAGUAGAGAUAUAUGGGGUGUGCCUCGCAUUUAUCAGAAGUUUUGCAGGCACUUAUCGAAGACAGAAGCUCAACAUCACAACGAGGAGGCAGGGGCGAAGCCAGAAAAAUUUUUUAGGGGGGCCGAAUAAAAUUUUAAUUUUUUAUAGUUUAUAUAUUUAUAAUUUGUAAAGGAUUAAAUCAGAUUUUUAUAAUUUUAGGGGGGCCAAAGUAAAAUUUUACCUUUACUAAUUUAAAAUUUUAAAAAAAAUUUAAGGACCUAAAAUGCAAUUUUACAUUUUAAGGGGGCUGGGGCCCAUGCCAGGCCCCCCUGGCUACGCCCCUGUGAGAAUGUAUGUGACGUUGCGACAACGCGACAAUCAAUGGACGAUGUCAUGACGAGGGUCGUCAAGACGAGGCGAAGAUCUCUUGAGGCAGGAGCAAGGGCGAAGUCAUGAUAAGGAGAGUCGUGAUGUCGCAACGAUAUUUCACCUAAUGUAGCCGCGUUUUAGACUCCAAGUAGGACUUCUUCUCCCAGUUGAACUCUGAUUACUUCAAGGAUAUUUUAGUCAUUUUAGCUCUUUUAUCUCAACCUAUUUAAAGGGGUCAUUCUAUCCAUGUUUUGAUUUGCCAAUCAGCAAUGACUUUUCUUUGUGGGCCACAAUAUGUAGUCGCAUAUAAGUUUGAAAGAAUUUUUGGUGUUAACUAUAGAGAGAAAUUUGUUCCCAAGUUAGGGUUUUGUUUCGGGAUUUGGUAAUGUAUGCUUAGUACAUUUAGGUUUACUUUCUCCAUAUUAUACUCUUGUUUGUUUACUCAUUUAGUGAAAAGCCAAAGCCUCUUUUGCUCGUGUUUUUUUAUCCUAUUUAGAGGAGUUUUCCACGUAAAUAUUUGUAUGUUUAAUCUUUUCUAUUUUACUUGUUCGUUGCUUAUAUGGGUCAAUCACCAACAGAUAAAAAGAAAACUAAAAUUUUAAAAACAAUUAAAAUUUUAUAAUCAAGUUUGGUUUAUUUUAAUGUAAUUUUUUAAUUUUAAUUACAAUUUUAUUUUUAUUUUAUAUAUUUUAUGUAAUUUAUUAUGACACCCCACAUCUGAUCUGAUCAUCAAAUUAAAAGUGCGAUGUCACAUUACGUUUCUGAAAUAACUCAAACUAUGUUAAUUCAAUUAUGGAACAUUUAAGUAUAUAAUUAUGAUAUAAUUCAAAAUCAUUUUUAUUUUUAAAUAUAAUAUAUCUAAAAACCUUAUUUAGCUUGAAUUACCAUUUCAUUAAUAUUAUUUAUUCAUAAUGAUCAUGAACACUUCAAUAGCUAUUUAGAAAUUUAGGUACAUAUUAACACAGAAUUUAAGACAAUAAGAAGAAUACAAAAUUGUUGAGAUAAGAAGAGAGUCCUCCUAACAUCAACCACAACUCUACCCUACCCAAUUAUUAUUUGUGCAUAAAAACAGAUAAUUUUGCACGUUGGACAGAGAAGUAGAGAAACUCAGUAGUACUAACAUAAUUUAUGUAUCUAUUAAGUAUAUAUCAUGCUACUUAAUCAAUUAAAUAAUAAUAAUUUCAUUCUUUAGUGCUUUAUCAAGAUCGUCAAAAUUUAAUGUAUGUCUCGUUUAUUAACAAAUAAAUUGUGCCUUCAAGGUUUUGUAUUAGUAAGACUAGUAUCAACAUUUAUGUUCAAUUCAUAAUAUCAUUUCUACUCUAAUUUUAUUUCUAUAAAUCAAAUGCUUCAAUUCGUUUUAUAAUUACAUCGUCCCCCAUGACUUGUAAAUUCGCAUAACCUUUUGCAUGCUAUCAUUCUUCUCAAUUAUAUUAAGGUUCAAUUAAUCAAUUCAAACAUAAAUUAUUUAAGUAAUUCAAUUCUCGUAUUAACAAAUAAAUUUUGCCUUCAAAGCUUUUAUAUUACUAAGAUUAGUAUCUACAUUUGUGUUCCAUUCAUAAUAUCAUAUCUAUUUUGAUCUUUACUCUAUAAAUCGAAUGCUUCAAUUCAUUUUAUAAUGUCAUCAGCCCCUAGGGAUCAUAAUACACAAAUUCACAUAAUCUUUUACAUGCUAUGGUUCUCACUUGUAUUAAAGUUCAAAUGAUUAAUUCAAGCUUUUAUUUGCAUACAACUUAUAUUUUAACCAUGUUAUAUUUAUACUUAAGAAGUCUCUAUUGUCUAAACACGGUUUCAAAAUCAAUACACGGAAUAAUUCACUAUCACACCAACAUAACAUGUACCUAGUGCUCAUCGAUAUGUUCUCAUAGACAUCCAAUACUUUUGAGAACUAUCGAAGUAAUAUACAUCUGACGCUAAAUAUAUAUGCACCUAGUGCUCAUCGUUAGGUUCAAAAUAUAUGUACCCAACACUCAUCGGUAUAUUACCAAAAUAAAGAGUACUCAAUACGAAGUAAAUUGCAAACGCCACUAAAACUUAUUUGUUAAUAGGGCAUCAUUCUUUACUAUUCCUUACUAAAACUUAUUGUACCGUAUAUAGUAUUAUCUAACACAAUUCACAAUCGCAAUUAUAUAUGUAUAUAUAAUUUGACAUAAGUCAAUUAAAUUAAAUAGUCAAAUGUAUAUGUCGUUACCUAUAUCAUUCAAUUAUAAUAAACUGAGAACAAUUAUUAGAGAACACAAUCGAAUUUAUUGCUCAUUGUCCGUUUCCUUCUUUCCACUAUUCCACGGACAUUCCAAUUUUUAACCUCGUUUAAUUUAUCAAGUAUAAAACAAUUAAUAAAUUCUCAACUUAAUAUAUAUUAAAAUUAAAUUCAUUUUAUAUACUUUUUUAAAUAUUAAAUGAAAUUUCUAUAUUUUGUAAUUUAUCCAAUUUAAUUUAAUUCUGACUUCCUAAACAUACUAUAAGGACUCUAUUUUAUUAGUAUUUAAUAGCAAUCAUCAAAUAUUUUAUCCUUUACAAACAAAUUCUAUUAACAUAUAAUUAUCUAUAUAAGAGAAUAGAUUGUACGAAACUAUGAUUCUACAUCAUCCUUAUCCUUUUUCAAUAGAAUAGUGACAAAUCAAAUUUUUUCUCUUAAUUUUCAAUUUUUUCUUCUUGAAAAAUUUCAAAUCAAACUAAAAAUGCUAAAAAUCAGGAGAAAAAAUCGAAUUUGCCAUUCUCUUAUUAAAAAGGGAUAAGGAUGACAUAGAAUCACAAUUUCAUAUAAUCAUUUCUCAUCUAUAUAAUUAAUUUUCAAUUUAAGCUUAAAGCAAUACUACCGUUAUGAUUCUAACAAGAUUUUAUAUAAUCUAAUCUCAUCACUUAUUGUUUCAUGGUUACAAAAAAUCAUUAUUUCUUUGUGAACUCAGAGAAAGCUUAACAAUUGGAACAUCUAAUUUUUGGGUUGAAUUAUACUACUUCUAUAAACUAGAAUUUCAUAAAAAUGAAACGGAAAAACUCACCUUCUUUCUUCCUCAAAUCAGUGGAUGACAAUCGAGAGACUCAUCUCCUAUCUCCUUUCCUCUUUUCUUUUCAAUCGGUGUUGGAGGAACAAUAAAAGAAAUUGGAUGACCCACUAAUACAUUUAACUUAAUUAACUAAAACAUCAAUGGCCAUUAAGCCUCCAUAACAACUUGAGUGGAAACCAAUAGCUUGUAUGAUUACAAGCCACUAAUUACGGAAUAAUUACUUUUAAGGACAUGGCUAAUAUCUUAACGAGAGCUUGCACAAAGCUUCAAUCAAAUCUCUUCAUUUCGCUCACUUUGUGAUUUUGCUAAUAUCUAGAGAGCAAAUAUAAAAUAACUUUGGCAAUAGAAGGGAAAAAUUAAAUUGAAAAGAAAAGAAAUGUAGAAUGCCAAAAGGAGCAAUAAAACCAAAAUAUAAGAAAGCUUUUCAAUCAC
rnacentral:lncRNA from 1 species